rnacentral:rRNA from 1 species
AUUGAACGCUGGCGGCAUGCCUUACACAUGCAAGUCGAACGGUAACAGGUCUUCGGAUGCUGACGAGUGGCGAACGGGUGAGUAAUACAUCGGAACGUGCCUAGUAGUGGGGGAUAACUACUCGAAAGGGUGGCUAAUACCGCAUGAGAUCUACGGAUGAAAGCAGGGGAUCGCAAGACCUUGUGCUACUAGAGCGGCCGAUGGCAGAUUAGGUAGUUGGUGGGAUAAAAGCUUACCAAGCCGACGAUCUGUAGCUGGUCUGAGAGGACGAUCAGCCACACUGGGACUGAGACACGGCCCAGACUCCUACGGGAGGCAGCAGUGGGGAAUUUUGGACAAUGGGCGCAAGCCUGAUCCAGCAAUGCCGCGUGCAGGAUGAAGGCCUUCGGGUUGUAAACUGCUUUUGUACGGAACGAAAAGCCCCGGGUUAAUACCCUGGGGUCAUGACGGUACCGUAAGAAUAAGCACCGGCUAACUUCGUGCCAGCCGCCGGGGUAA